CUCUCAAAGGGCUGUGUUAUAAACUGGAUCCUCAGUCAGUGUUUGUGUUCUGCUGCAGUGCAGAUAAAUGUCUUUCUGUUUCUCUCGAUCUGACAGUUUAGGAUCAUAAUGGAAAUGUUACAGUAUGGAGUUCUGCUGAUGAUUUUGUCAGCUGUUAGCGGUCAGUCUUUGACCUCCUCAGAUUCUGUGGUGAAAAAGCCUGGAGAAUCAGUGACUCUGUCCUGCACUGUGUCUGGAUUCACAAUGAGCAGCUACUGGAUGCAGUGGAUCCGUCAGAAACCAGGGAAAGGACUGGAGUGGAUUGGGCAGAUAUCUGGCUCAACUGUAUAUUAUGCUCAGUCUCUUCAGGGCCAGUUCUCCGUCACCACAGACACCAGUAAAAACAUGCUGUAUUUAGAGGUGAAAAGCCUGAAGACUGAAGACACAGCUGUUUAUUACUGUGCACGAGAGUCACAGUUACACAAAAGACUGCAGGGCUGA